rnacentral:rRNA from 1 species
UACGGAGGGUGCAAGCGUUAUCCGGAUUCACUGGGUUUAAAGGGUGCGUAGGCGGAUAAGUAAGUCAGUGGUGAAAUCUCCGGGCUUAACUCGGAAACUGCCGUUGAUACUAUUUAUCUUGAAUAUCAUGGAGGUAAGCGGAAUAUGUCAUGUAGCGGUGAAAUGCUUAGAUAUGACAUAGAACACCGAUAGCGAAGGCAGCUUACUACAUGUUAAUUGACGCUGAGGCACGAAAGCGUGGGGAGCAAACAGG